AUGCAUCCGGUCACCCCUCCCUGCCCUCCCUAACGCACCGACGUUUGAAAGUUCGUGUCAGUCUUAAGUCCUGAAUGGUUCUUAACCACCUGACUUUCUUACUGUGAAGAUGCCCAGUGUAAAAAAAAAAAAAAAGGCUUUGAUAAUUUGAUGGACAAAUUAUCGCUUUUUAAAAAAAACAUUCCAGUUUGGGUUCAAUUACCAGUGAACAGGAAUUUUACAGCUAAAAGUCUGAGGUUAAGAUUUCUUGAUUUCUGAAAGACUAACAAAUCAAUUCCGCUCCCUUCAGGCAAGGAAAGUGCUCAGACACACCUGUCCCUUCAGAAACUAAAUAGAGAAAAAUUCUGUUCCCCUUCAGCCAAAGAAAGUGCUCAGACACACCUGUCCCUCCAGAAAUUAAAUAGAGAAAAUCUGUUCCAUUUCUCUUUUCAUGAUUCUGUCAGGCGUCUGAACUCCAUUGCAUUUGAAAGGACCAUUCAGGUAAACAUUCUUCAGCUUGGAAGUGAAUUCAUCUUGGCAUGUGAAGCCCCACAGCCGCCUACAUCGUUCCCCACAUUGAUCUGGGGCUGUGUCCUCAGCAGGGACUCUGCACAGUUCUCAGUACUCCAUACCCCGGUUAGCUUGUGGCCCGGUUUCUCCAUGCCUGCCUUCCAUCCCAGGAGAUGAGAUGCAAGGGUUGAGCAUCUUUUCCCUCUCGGCUUUGCAGCGUUUGCCUCUGCACAGUGUGUAGUACUGGUGGUAGUUUUCCUGAGGAAAGAAAUUUCAGUUUUCAUCCCUUGAUUAUUACUGUUCAUCAUAAGCAGUAUGAGAGGUCACAGCUAUGCAACAUCUGAAUGUCCUCUUGAUGCUGUUUCCUGUUGUGUUUUGUGGGCUGUAGCUCUCCUCUCCUUGAGACAUUAACUGAGGCAAGAAGCCCAUGAAUACUUGGUAUAUGGAGGGAAGAUUGGUGUGAUGAGACCAUUAUCACAUGUUUUACCAAAUGCCAACUAGUCUUUUGUAGUUUUUCCUUCUUAAAUUUCUCUGAUAUGAGAAGCAAAACCCCAUGCUAGCUUAAAACAAUGUUUCUGAUUUUAAACAUUUGUAACAAUCUCCCCUCAUCUGAGAAAUAUGCCUUGAGAAAUACAGGAAAAGCAAGAGUGUUAAAACCACCUCAAUUCUGCAUACUACAUGUGUGUAUAUCUGUGUGUAUAUGUUGGGAGAUGACAGCAUAAAUUUUGCUUCUAAACCCCACUUCUACUAAGAUCAUGUUAUUUUAUAUAGCACUGUUGAUAAAUAGUAAACAUUUUUUUUCUUUUGACAUUUUAUUUCAUUGGUGAGAUAUCUGAUACAAGUUAUUUGGAAUAGCAAGAGAGGAGAACACCACUAUUCUAUAUAUUGAACAAUAUAUAAGCAGGAGUAGUUUUCCCAGGCCCAGAUUUAGCUUCUCAGCAUUGGCCUUCAUACUGAGCUUGUCAGAAAUCAUGCAGUAAUUAUAGAUUCCUAUUGUACACAUUUGUUUAUAAGAGGUUGGAUUGAUAUCCCCUAAAGUGUUAACUUUACCCAUGAACGGUAAUUCAGUUUGGAUGACCUAAUGAUAAACACACAUCUGAGACUUUCAAUGACUUCUGUAGACUUUAUUAUGAAGAAAGAUAUCCAACUGACUGAGUCUCAGAGGAGUUUCCUCUGUGGAGUUUCCCGUGGUAACUUACAGAAUUUGUUUCUUGAGUAAAAGAAUCAAUUCUGUAUGGAGUUUAAAUUGAAAUGUGAACAUUUAAUGUGGGACUGAGUGUUUUCAAUGUAUGCAUUUACUGGGUCUGAUUAGGAUAAACGUUUGCUUCACUUUGACUGUCCCAGUCACUGGAAUCUUACGAUCUGCUUCUCAAACACUUAGUGUUUCAUUUCUAAAGCAAGAUGGGCUGUUGCUUUGGCAAAGGUAAGUGUUACUAUUCCUUGAAAAACAAUAUAAAUACUUGUUCCCAGUUAUUACAUUUCACUUUUCUUUUGUGACAAUUGGUCCCAGUGUAUCACCUGAGGGUGAGGCUUGGGUCCCUUACAGGAGACUACAGUCUACAUAGUAUGCUGUAAGCUAAGUUCCUGUGUGUCUUUGUAACAUUGUUGGUUAAAUGUAAUUAGCCAUUUAUUUGAAAACAGCACUUCAAAUAACCUGUCCAUCUUGCAUGAUUUGAGUAAAGAUCUAAAUUUUUUGCAAAACUUACAGAGAUUUCUCUUGACAUAAAGUGCUGACUGACGUUUGUGUGUGGAUUUAGAUCAAACUUCAAAAAUAUUUACUUUCUUUGCAUUAAGACAAUUAACAAUAUAUAAACUAUAUGUUAGGCAAAUGAUUGGAAGGACAUGUUAUUGUUUCAGAUGUAAAGAUGGAGAAAUAUUUAUACAUAGAAUUCUUUAUCCAUGGUAGCCAUAUUGAAUUGUUUAUCUAAUUGUGAUUUUAAGGAUUUAAAAUGUUUUCUUACCACAUGUGUUAAAUUGUUACUAUGUCUUCCUGGAAAAUGGAGUUAUUUGUAAGGUUUUUAUAAAUGCACAAUUUAUGUAUAAAUAUAAUUGAAACCU
rnacentral:lncRNA from 1 species